UGUCCCUGAUCUGGGUAAAGUUGUACCUGGCUUGGUGGUGCUUGUCUCAUAUUGGCCAGAGACAAAGUAACUCCUUGUUUAUCCCAGGUUGGCUUUUGGUCUGUGCCCAUGCCUGGUCCAUGCCUUGGACACAUAG